UGAAAUUACAUUGAAACAAACAAAGGGCAGAUGAAAGCUGUUCCGGGACCCACCCAGCUGCCCUACCCAGCCUGCAGAUCCAAAGUGGGUGAUGGACAGACUGCACAAUAUGGAGCCUUAUAGCAAAAAGUCGUGUCUGCUGAAACAGACACCCCAGCGACUGCCACUGGCAAAGGAAGAAGGGCUUCUGCUUCCCUUCCAUCUUCCAAAUCAUGGCUGUGUGAUUCACCAGUCUGAAUCCAGACCCUUGAUGGCCAGGGGCAUUUUACCAUGCAGGAGGUAUUACAAAAAUCAUGUCCUGUGAUAAAAUGAUCAAAGAUCAUGUAGCCAAAAAAAGUAAGGAAAAAACCUUUUAUAAAUAGAGGGUGGGUGUUUGAGGGGUUAUAAUACUAUUUUUCCCACAUGUUGUGAUGUUUGUGUUAUUUCAGCUUUUAAGAAUUUGUAUAUUUUUUCUCAUUAUAAGUGAGUAUUUGUAAUUUUGUGUCCUUUUACUUAAAGAAGGCCUCCACACUUGAAAAGAGGAUGGCAGAACAGAAAGAGAGAAUCCUGGUCCCUUUUGACAUUUUGGAACCCAUGGCAGCUCUGGAUGGUCCACUGCCAGCCUCCUGUAAUUCGAGGGAGAAAUAAAUCUCUAUCUUAAGUGACCAUUAUUUUGGUUUUUCUGUUAUGAGCAACCAAACAGAAUCUGAGCCCUUUGUCUCAGCAGUUCUACUUCCAGGAGUUUAUCCUACAGAUAUACUGGCACGUAUACACAGUGACGCAUGGUCAAGGUCAUUCAUUGCAGCAGAAUAUGGGAAACAGUCUAUGUGUCCAUCAGUGGAGGCUGGUUAAAUAAAUUGCAUGCAUCCACACAGUAAGGUAGUAAGUAUCGUAUAUUAGGAGGAAGGUUGUCAUAUCGAUAUGAAAUUAUCUCUAAGCUGUCCUGCUAAGAGAAAAAAGUAAGUACAGAACAGUGUAAACACCAUGCUAUUAUCUGUGUAAAAUACAGAUGUACGUACUUAUAUAUGUAUUUAUAUAUGGGCUGCUGGUUCUUGUACAGGCAACUAAGUGUCUGAGGACAGGAGUCAGAGGGAGACUUUUCUCUGUGUUGUUUGUGAAUAAUCAUUGUGAACUUUAUUUUAAAAUAAAUAAAGUUAAAGCUA